UCCAGAUGUUCGCCCUUCACGGCAGACCGUAUUUCCCCAACUAAAAGCCAAACCAAACGAUGAAUUGAAAUCCUCCUCCCGGUUUCCUCUCUUCGCACAUUCGCCGUGAACGAUCGACACGCCAGCAGGCCAAGGACUUGCUCUGGGGUUAGGUUUUCAGGCGUCGUCUGUGAUUCUCGGUUCCUUUUCGGUUGUUCCUGUCUCCGCGAGUUGGUCGUCCCCAAGGAAUGCAUCGGUUUUUUCAGCAUCACUAGAGUCAAGGAGGCUUCCCUUGGACUGGCGCUAUGCACGCCCAUCAUAUUUUAUUUAGGAGUCUGGACUGGAUACACUCCUUCUCUUUUGUCCCGUGUGAUAAAAGAUUUAUAGCUUAUAAUAUCACAACAAUUGCCAUUUAGAAGAUUUUGGUGGCCAGAGAACAAAGCAAGUCACCGAACCAUGCUCAUGGUCUGCUGGAAUAUCACACUAAAACUUCAUGCUGGUAUGUGCAAAGACGAUCCCAAAAGUCCAUCAGUUGGUAUCCUGUCAAGAGGCUGGAGCCACCUUCAUGGCCGUUAAUUCGUACAAGAUGGCCAAACCCAUUUUCAUGUACUAUGCCAUGCAGCAAAUGCCGCGGAUCAUCAAUCUGGGCAUAGUCCCAAUCUUCAGAUUCAUCAUGGGGUAACGCAGAACCAUGACUGCACGCCGGGCACCUGAUCAUUGAUUAAAUAACAGUUCAGUGUGUAAUUUUAUUUAUCAUCAGAAGUUGCAGUGUUAUUGUCACAUUUGUUUGCAG
rnacentral:rRNA from 1 species